rnacentral:tRNA from 1 species
UGGCUCAGUUGGUAGAGCAUGGUGUUUGCAACGCCAGCAUGGUGUUUGCCAUGCCAGAGUUGUGGGUUUGAUUCCCAC